AAAAAAAAAAAGCUUUUUCUCCCAUUUAAAGCUUUUUCUCCCAUUUUAUUCAGCUCCGUGCUGCAUGGCCGGGGGUGCACGUGCAAUAAGGCUCUCCCCAGUUAUCAGAGCUCUGCGUUUGUGCUGUGCCCCCCUCCAAGCGCGCAGUGCCCGUAGCAUCGUGGGUGCGACCACAGCACAAAAAAUCAGACACCACCCUGGCAGCUGACGCCCCUCCGCACCAAGGCAGCACGGCCGUAACACCAAGUCGCAGCGUUGUACUUCGUGCUUUCCUGGCCUGCUCUCUCCCAUGGGCUCUGAGAUGACAGAGACCUCCCGGACAAACCUCACCUGGCAGCCCUGCCUACAAAGGGCUUGAUCCCUGAGACCCACCCCUUACACUACUACAGGUCCAGCAGUGACCCACCGCAGCCCGUUAUGUUACUACAGUCCCAGCAGUGACCCAGUUACGUUACUACAUGUCCAGGAGCGAUCCACUACAGAUCGUUAUGUUACUACAGGUUCAGGAGCGACCAGCUACAGUCAGCUAUAUUACUACAGGUUCAGCAGUGACCCAGCACAGACCAUUACAUUACUACAGGUUGAGGAGUGACCCACUACAGUCAGUUAUAUUACUACAGGUUCAGCAGUGACCCAGCACAGACCAUUACAUUACUACAGGUUGAGCAGUGACUCACUACAGCUUUACUACUACAGACAACUAUUACUACGGGUUAAGCAGUGACUCACUACAGACAGCUAUAUUACUACAGAUUGAGCAGUGACCCACUACAGCUUUAUUACUACAGACAACUCUUACUACAGGUUGAGCAGUGACUCACUACAGGCAAGUUACAUUACUACAGCUGUAUUACUACAGGCCCAGCAGUGACCCAGCACAACGGGGGUCUCAGAGCACAGCUCUCCCGAACCCAGCCCCAAGGAAGGUGCCUCCAGCGCUGCCCCUUUCCCUUCCAGCUCCUUCUGACCGCUUCUCAGCGCUCCCGUCACCUACAUCCACGCCGUUACGGGGGCAUUCGCCACCCAAGCCCCACGUACAGCCCCACAAACUGCUUGUAACUACCCAACUACAGCCCCAGAGGAUGCUUGUGACUAACAAGAGCCUAUCCUAGAGCUGCUUUUUGCCGUGGUUCCCUGAAGGGGAGCCCAGCCAGCCCUCAGAAGACCACACCGUUUACCACUACCCCCGCUGGGACAGUGUGGCUGUAGCCGCCCGGCC
rnacentral:lncRNA from 1 species